GCCUGCCACUGCUUCUCGCAAACAAUCACUCUGUUCUGCCUCCUGCUCUCCUGCGAGCAAUUGCCCUGCUGCUCCCCCGCAAGCAAUUGCCCUGCUGCUUCUUGUGAGCAAUUGCCCUGCCCUGCCUCCUGCUCCUUGCAAGCAAUUGCUCUGCUGCUCCCCCGUGAGCAAUCACCCUGCUGCUCCUCGCGAGCAAUCACUCUGCUGCUCCUCUGUGAGCAAUUGCUCUGCUGCUCCUCACAAGCAAUCACUCUGCUGCUUCUCUGUGAGCAAUCACCCUGCUGCUCCUCUGCAAGCAAUCACUCUGCUGCUUCUUGUGAGCAAUUGCCCUGCUGCUCCCUCAUAAGCAAUCACCCUGCUGCUCUCUGUGAGCAAUCACUCUGCUGCUCCCCCGCAAGCAAUCACUCUGCUGCUUCUUGUGAGCAAUCACUCUAUAUCUGCUUCUGGUGAGCAGUUGUCUAUUUCUUUACCAUGGAUGACCACAUGUUGAGCU
rnacentral:sRNA from 2 species